UACGUAGGGUGCAAGCGUUGUCCGGAAUCAUUGGGCGUAAAGCGCGCGUAGGUGGCUUCGUAAGUCCGUUGUGAAAGUCAAAGGCUCAACCUUUGAAUGCCGGUGGAUACUGUCGGGCUAGAGUCCGGAAGGGGCGAGUGGAAUUCCUGGUGUAGCGGUGAAAUGCGCAGAUAUCAGGAGGAACACCAAUGGCGAAGGCAGCUCGCUGGGACGUGACUGACGCUGAGACGCGAAAGCGUGGGGAGCAAACAGG
rnacentral:rRNA from 1 species